rnacentral:rRNA from 1 species
AUUGAACGCUGGCGGCAUGCUUUACGCAUGCAAGUCGAACGGUAACAGGUUAAGCUGACGAGUGGCGAACGGGUGAGUAAUGCAUCGGAACGUGCCCGGUCGUGGGGGAUAACGCAGCGAAAGCUGCGCUAAUACCGCAUACGUGCUGAGGAUGAAAGCGGGGGACCGUAAGGCCUCGCGCGAUCGGAGCGGCCGAUGUCAGAUUAGGGAGUUGGUGGGGUAAAGGCUCACCAAGCCAACGAUCUGUAGCUGGUCUGAGAGAACGACCAGCCACACUGGGACUGAGACACGGCCCAGACUCCUACGGGAGGCAGCAGUGGGGAAUUUUGGACAAUGGGCGAAAGCCUGAUCCAGCAAUGCCGCGUGCAGGAAGAAGGCCUUCGGGUUGUAAACUGCUUUUGUACGGAGCGAAAAGGUCUCCUCUAAUACAGGGGGCUCAUGACGGUACCGUAAGAAUAAGCACCGGCUAACUACGUGCCAGCCGCCGCCGUAA